rnacentral:lncRNA from 1 species
AAUCUGACAUUGGCCGUGGAUCAAGGUGUCCCGGCUGCCUAGGAGAAUAGUAUGCUGGACUCCACGGGGCCUCCAUUUCAUUAUACCUCUGAUUAACCGAUUGUUGGGGCUGCGCAAAACCCAUAUGUGGAAUUGUAAGGUGAUGCAAGUUGAUCUGAGUGAUUGUUGCGGCUGAGCAAAACCCAUAUGUGGAAUUGUAAGGUGACGCAAGUUGAACUGAGACAUAUGCGCAUCGUUACUCCUCAGAUUAUGGAGGCAACCAUCAAGAUUCAUCUGAUUAAAGCACUGCUCCGCAACAUGGAGAUCAUCUAAUGGACCUGUAACCUGAAAUUCAUUAUGUUGUGCCGUUCUGUAUUCCGGGGAUUCAUUAAGACUAUUCAAAGCAUCCACAUACCUUCUCUCAUUAUCCCUCUCAUCCCCAUCACAGAAAUGCAAUGAUCCAUCUUGAUCAGGGUGAGAAAACAUAAAGAUCCUGAGCCUAGUAAAUCCGUCACAGAAAUGCAAUGAUCCAUCUUGAUCAG